rnacentral:rRNA from 1 species
UACGUAGGUGGCAAGCGUUGUUCGGAAUUAUUGGGCGUAAAGGGCGCGUAGGCGGUUUGUUAAGUCGGUCGUGAAAGCCCGGGGCUCAACCCCGGAGGGUCGACCGAUACUGGCAGACUAGAGUACAGAAGAGGUAACUGGAAUUCCCGGUGUAGCGGUGAAAUGCGUAGAGAUCGGCAGGAACACCAGUGGCGAAGGCGGUCUCCUGGGGCAUUCUUGACGCUGAGGCGCGAAAGCUGGGGGAGCGAACGGG